UAAAUUUUAAAAGGUUGAUAAUAACAUCCGAAUUGAGCUAGAAUACUUUUAGAAGCACCAACUCCUUGGUACUUCUAGGUUUCUAGCUCUUGGAUCUACUCUUUGAUUACUAAUAGCUUUUGGAUCAAACAAUAUUUCACCUGCCACCACCUACCAGUACUGACCACCAUCAUUCUAACCCUACAUCUCUCCAUCUAAUAGUUAAAAAUUCAAAACCACCACCCCCUUGGUGCUUUUGAGAGUGUUCUAGCUUAACUCAUAAUAUCCUCCUUCCGUAGAAGAUAUUUAUACAUCAAAAUUUUCAGCUAACAAAAUAGGUAAAAUAGAAAUAAAAAAUUAUUUUUUAUUUUUUUUCUUACCAGCCAAACACGCAUAUAUGAAAAAUUAAUUCUUUU
rnacentral:lncRNA from 1 species